CAGGGUGUGGUCUAGCAGCUAAGACGCCGGUUUCGGGAAUCGGAAAUCGAGGGUGCAAAUCCCUCCACCCUGACAA
rnacentral:tRNA from 4 species